UGCAUGAUUUCUAACCGAAUCCUGACCGACUCAGCUCUCAAGAGUGUUAAAGAAAGAAAUCGGAGGACUAGGGGAAGAGUUGAAGCAUGGUACCAUCGGCAGGCAAAGCAACACAGCGAAUCUACAUGAGUCACCGGUUCAGGAUCGGCGUGGCCUGGUACCAUUGAUUUUAAGUGAAGGAAGACAAAGCCUCCUCUUUGCAUCAAUUUAUAAUAAUUUGAUGUGCCAGCAUGGUUUGAAGUGAUUCACAUGUACUAACUCAGUUAAUCCUCACAACAGUUCAAUGAAAUAGGUAAUAAUAUCCGUUUUACAGGUGAAGAAACCAAGGCCCAGAGAGGUUGAGCCACUUCUACAACAUCAUAUAAGUACCCACCACAAGUCAUCUAUUUUGAACUAAUAUUUUUUAAAAAAACAGCCCACGCAGUUAGUUCAGUUGGUCUUUGUACUAGUGGGGACUCUUUCUGCCCCAAAUAUCAGAAGUCAGCUCAGACCAGCUCGAAAGCAAAAAUGUCAAAUGCGGAUUAAUUGAUGCACACAGUCAAAGUGCUCUGGCCCCUGAGUGACAGCAGCUGGCCAGUCCUCUUAUUCUCUCCCCAGUUUAGAUUCUCUUUGUCUGUCAUCUUCAUUCUUUCAAGUUCCUCGAUGUCUUAAGUGUUGCAGGCUGGACAGAAGACCCUGACGUGGAGUGUAAUCCUCAGGAUUAAUGCAGAGGGAAGGGAAAGCAGGGUGCAGGACUGGGCGGAGGGAGAACUCAUGCUGUGGUGCGGACUCGGUGCCAGCCGAGCUGACCCCAGGGACAGUGGAGCUCAAAUGACCUGUCAGAAUCGUCCCAUGUUGGAUUGAGAUGGCCUGACUCCUGGGUCACUCGGGCUUUGGAGGCCGGCGGCCCAGGGAUGCCCCCGAGCAAGGCGGUUCUCUGUAGCUGAGAACAUUCCCGAAGGCUGGCAGCCAAAGCUGUGUGCCAACACUGCCUCCCGCAGCUGGGGCAAGUCCGUCACUGGAGCGGAGCCCUGGCCAACCGCGGGACCGCCAGCCACUCUGGGGUCACAUUCUUACAACUUUCCAUGCAAGGCAACAGAGCUUCUGUGAAGC
rnacentral:lncRNA from 12 species